UCUCCGUUGGUGAACCAGCGGAGGGAUCAUUACAGGACUCGCAAGACUCCUUCACCCUGUGAACCUCACUACAAGCACGUUGCUUCGGCGGGCGUCCCGGCGGGGGUUUUCCCUCGCCGGGGCGCACAGCCCGCCGGCAGCCUACUAUACUCUGUCUCUUUGCGUUGGCAUCUCGAGAAAAAACAAACAAGUUAAAACUUUCAACAACGGAUCUCUUGGUUCUG
rnacentral:misc_RNA from 1 species